UUUCUCCGUAGGGUGAACCUGCGGAGGGAUCAUUACACAAAUAUGAAGGCGGGCUGGAACCUCUCGGGGUUACAGCCUUGCUGAAUUAUUCACCCUUGUCUUUUGCGUACUUCUUGUUUCCUUGGUGGGUUCGCCCACCACUAGGACAAACAUAAACCUUUUGUAAUUGCAAUCAGCGUCAGUAACAAAUUAAUAAUUACAACUUUCAACAACGGAUCUCUUGGUUCUGGCAUCGAUGAAGAACGCAGCGAAAUGCGAUAAGUAGUGUGAAUUGCAGAAUUCAGUGAAUCAUCGAAUCUUUGAACGCACAUUGCGCCCUUUGGUAUUCCAAAGGGCAUGCCUGUUCGAGCGUCAUUUGUACCCUCAAGCUUUGCUUGGUGUUGGGCGUCUUGUCUCUAGCUUUGCUGGAGACUCGCCUUAAAGUAAUUGGCAGCCGGCCUACUGGUUUCGGAGCGCAGCACAAGUCGCACUCUCUAUCAGCAAAGGUCUAGCAUCCAUUAAGCCUUUUUUUCAACUUUUGACCUCGGAUCAGGUAGGGAUACCCGCUGAACUUAACCAUAUCAAUAACCGGAGGAAA
rnacentral:rRNA from 1 species